rnacentral:rRNA from 1 species
UACGGAGGAUGCAAGCGUUAUCCGGAUUUAUUGGGUUUAAAGGGUGCGCAGGUGGUUUAAUAAGUCAGUGGUGAAAGUCUGCCGCUUAACGGUAGGAUUGCCAUUGAUACUGUUGGACUUGAAUAUGGAUGAGGUAGGCGGAAUGUGUAGUGUAGCGGUGAAAUGCUUAGAUAUUACACAGAACACCGAUUGCGAAGGCAGCUUACUAAACUGUAACUGACGCUGAGGCACGAAAGCGUGGGUAUCAAACAGGAUUAGAUA